UACGGAAGGGGCAAGCGUUGUUCGGAAUCAUUGGGCGUAAAGGGCGCGUAGGCGGUUCUGUAUGUCUACCGUGAAAGCGUACGGCUCAACCGUAUUUUGUCGGUGGAAACUGCAGGACUUGAGGCUGGGAGGGGCUGGUGGAAUUCCCUGUGUAGUGGUGAAAUGCGUAGAGAUGGGGGAGAACACUCGUGGCGAAGGCGGCCAGCUAGACCAGUUCUGACACUGAGGCGCGACAGCGUGGGGAGCAAACAGG
rnacentral:rRNA from 1 species